GCCCGGAUAGCUCAGCCGGUAGAGCAUCAGACUUUUAAUCUGAGGGUCCAGGGGUCAAGUCCCUGUUCGGGCG
rfam:Danio rerio chromosome 4, GRCz11 reference primary assembly.